rnacentral:snRNA from 1 species
AUCACUUCUCGGCCUUUUGGCUAAGAUCAAGUGUAGUAUCUGUUCUUAUCAGUUUAAUAUAGCUCAAACUUAGAGUUUAAGAAGCCAUCAACCAAGAUUUGCCUGCAGGUACAUAUAAUCUCAGUAUAACAUUAUCAUCUCUAUCCACUGCAGCAUUAGAUCUCUAGAACUUGUUUACUUACUAUUACAAGUUGCAUCACAUUUUUUCAGUGAGAAAAUAA